rnacentral:rRNA from 1 species
UGGGGAAUCUUGCGCAAUGGGGGAAACCCUGAUGCAGCGACGCCGCGUGAGCGAUGAAGCCCUUCGGGGUGUAAAGCUCUUUCGGCAGGGAAGAUGAUGACGGUACCUGCAGAAGCAGCUGCGGCUAACUACGUGCCAGCAGCCGCGGUAAUACGUAGGCAGCAAGCGUUGUUCGGAGUUACUGGGCGUAAAGGGUGUGUAGGCGGUUCUUUAAGUUUGGUGUGAAAUCUCCCGGCUUAACUGGGAGGGUGCGCCGACGACCGGGAAGCUGGAGUGUGGGAAAGGCAGGCGGAAUUCCUGGUGUAGCGGUGAAAUGCGUAGAUAUCAGGAGGAACACCGGCGGUGUAGACGGCUUGCUAGACCAUAACUGACGCUGAGGCACGAAAGCGUGGGUAGCAAACA